rnacentral:sRNA from 1 species
AAGAUACAUAGACAAAGACUCAUACGGAAUUCGGCUAAACCAUCAAAGCUUUUAGAAGCAAGAAGAAGGUUGGUUAGUGUUUUGGAGUGAAAUAUGACUAGAUGUCAUGUGUAUGAGUGAGUAUAUCAACUAGAACCACAAUUGGAAUUUUAAAAGCCUAAGUAUUAUAUCCUUGUUAGAAGAUACAAAGACAAACACUCAUACGGACUUUGGCUACACCAUCAAAGCUUUUAGAAGCAAGAAGAAGCUUGGUUAGUGUUUUGGAGUCGAAUAUGACUUGAUGUGAUGUGUAUGAUUGAGUAUAAGAAAUUAAACCGCAACCGGAUCUUAAAAGCCUAAGUAUUGUUUUUUUGUUAGCAGAAACAAAGGCAAAGCCUCAUACAGACUUUAGCUAUACCAUCAAAGCCUUGAGAAGCAAGAAGAAGCUUGGUUAGUGUUUUGGAGUCAAAUAUUACUAGAUGUCAUGUGUAUGAGUGAGUAUGACAACUAGAACCAUAACCGGAUCUUAAAAACCUAAGUAUUGAAUCUUUGUAAGAAGAUACAAAGACAAAGACUCAUACGGACUUCGACUACACUAUCAAAGCUUUGAGAAGCAAGAAGAAGCUUGGUUAGUGUUUUGGAUACGAAUAUGACUUGAUGUCAUGUGUAUGACUCAGUAUAAACACUAGAACCGCAACGGAUCUUAAAAGCAUAAGUAUUGUAUCAUUGUUAGAAGAUACAAUGACGAAGACUCAUACGGACUUCGACUACACCAUCAAAGCUUUGAGAAGCAAGAAGCAGUUGGUUAGUGUUUUGGAGUCGAAUAUGACUUGAUGGCAUGUGUAUGAGUGAGUAUAAAAACUAGAACCGCAACGGAUCUUAAAAGCCUAAAUAUUGUAUCCUUGUUAGAAGAUACAUAGACAAAGUCUCAUACGGAAUUCGGCUAAACCAUCAAAGCUUUUAGAAGCAAGAAGAAGGUUGGUUAGUGUUUUGGAGUGAAAUCUAACUAGAUGUCAUGUGUAUGAGUGAGUAUACCAACUAGAACCACAAUUGGAAUUUUAAAAGCCUAAGUAUUAUAUCCUUGUUAGAAGAUACAAAGACAAACACUCAUACGGACUUUGGCUACACCAUCAAAGCUUUGAGAAGCAAGAAGAAGCUUGGUUAGUGUUUUGGAGUCGAAUAUGACUUGAUGUGAUGUGUAUGAUUGAGUAUAAGAAAUUAAACCGCAACCGGAUCUUAAAAGCCUAAGUAUUGUUUCCUUGUUAGAAGAAACAAAGGCAAAGCCUCAUACAAACUUUAGCUUUACCAUCAAAGCCUUGAGAAGAAAGAAGAAGCUUGGUUAGUGUUUUGGAGUCAAAUAUUACUAGAUGUCAUGUGUAUGAGUGAGUAUGACAACUAGAACCAUAACCGGAUCUUAAAAACCUAAGUAUUGAAUCUUUGUAAGAAGAUACAAAGACAAAGACUCAUACGGACUUCGACUACACUAUCAAAGCUUUGAGAAGCAAGAAGAAGCUUGGUUAGUGUUUUGGAUUCGAAUAUGACUUGAUGUCAUGUGUAUGACUCAGUAUAAACACUAGAACCGCAACGGAUCUUAAAAGCAUAAGUAUUGUAUCAUUGUUAGAAGAUACAAUGACGAAGACUCAUACGGACUUCGACUACACCAUCAAAGCUUUGAGAAGCAAGAAGCAGUUGGUUAGUGUUUUGGAGUCGAAUAUGACUUGAUGUCAUGUGUAUGAGUGAGUAUAAAAACUUGAACCGCAACGGAUCUUAAAAGCCUAAAUAUUGUAUCCUUGUUAGAAGAUACAUAGACAAAGUCUCAUACGGAAUUCGGCUAAACCAUCAAAGCUUUUAGAAGCAAGAAGAAGCUUGGUUAGUGUUUUGGAGUGAAAUAUGACUAGAUGUCAUGUGUAUGAGUGAGUAUAUCAACUAGAACCACAAUUGGAAUUUUAAAAGCCUAAGUAUUAUAUCCUUGUUAGAAGAUACAAAGACAAACACUCAUACGGACUUUGGCUACACCAUCAAAGCUUUUAGAAGCAAGAAGAAGCUUGGUUAGUGUUUUGGAGUCGAAUAUGACUUGAUGUGAUGUGUAUGAUUGAGUAUAAGAAAUUAAACCGCAACCGGAUCUUAAAAGCCUAAGUAUUGUUUUCUUGUUAGCAGAAACAAAGGCAAAGCCUCAUACAGACUUUAGCUAUACCAUCAAAGCCUUGAGAAGCAAGAAGAAGCUUGGUUAGUGUUUUGGUGUCAAAUAUUACUAGAUGUCAUGUGUAUGAGUGAGUAUGACAACUAGAACCAUAACCGGAUCUUAAAAACCUAAGUAUUGAAUUUUUGGUAGAAGAUACAAAGACAAAGACUCAUACGGACUUCGACUACACUAUCAAAGCUUUGAGAAGCAAGAAGAAGCUUGGUUAGUGUUUUGGAGUCGAAUAUGACUUGAUGUCAUGUGUAUGAGUGAGUAUAAAAACUAGAACCGCAACGGAUCUUAAAAGCCUAAAUAUUGUAUCCUUGUUAGAAGAUACAUAGACAAAGUCUCAUACGGAAUUCGGCUAAACCAUCAAAGCUUUUAGAAGCAAGAAGAAGCUUGGUUAGUGUUUUGGAGUGAAAUCUAACUAGAUGUCAUGUGUAUGAGUGAGUAUACCAACUAGAACCACAAUUGGAAUUUUAAAAGCCUAAGUAUUAUAUCCUUCUUAGAAGAUACAAAGACAAACACUCAUACGGACUUUGGCUACACCAUCAAAGCUUUGAGAAGCAAGAAGAAGCUUGGUUAGUGUUUUGGAUUCGAAUAUGACUUGAUGUCAUGUGUAUGACUCAGUAUAAACACUAGAACCGCAACAGAUCUUAAAAGCAUAAGUAUUGUAUCAUUGUUAGAAGAUACAAUGACGAAGACUCAUACGGACUUCGACUACACCAUCAAAGCUUUGAGAAGCAAGAAGCAGUUGGUUAGUGUUUUGGACUCGAAUAUGACUUGAUGUCAUGUGUAUGAGUGAGUAUAAAAACUAGAACCGCAACGGAUCUUAAAAGCCUAAAUAUUGUAUCCUUGUUAGAAGAUACAUAGACAAAGUCUCAUACGGAAUUCGGCUAAACCAUCAAAGCUUUUAGAAGCAAGAAGAAGCUUGGUUAGUGUUUUGGAGUGAAAUCUAACUAGAUGUCAUGUGUAUGAGUGAGUAUACCAACUAGAACCACAAUUGGAAUUUUAAAAGCCUAAGUAUUAUAUCCUUGUUAGAAGAUACAAAGACAAAGACUCAUACGGACUUUGGCUACACCAUCAAAGCUUUUAGAAGCAAGAAGAAGCUUGGUUAGUGUUUUGGAGUCGAAUAUGACUUGAUGUGAUGUGUAUGAUUGAGUAUAAGAAAUUAAACCGCAACCGGAUCUUAAAAGCCUAAGUAUUGUUUCCUUGUUAGAAGAAACAAAGGCAAAGCCUCAUACAAACUUUAGCUUUACCAUCAAAGCCUUGAGAAGAAAGAAGAAGCUUGGUUAGUGUUUUGGAGUCAAAUAUUACUAGAUGUCAUGGGUAUGAGUGAGUAUGACAACUAGAACCAUAACCGGAUCUUAAAAACCUAAGUAUUGAAUCUUUGUAAGAAGAUACAAAGACAAAGACUCAUACGGACUUCGACUACACUAUCAAAGCUUUGAGAAGCAAGAAGAAGCUUGGUUAGUGUUUUGGAUACGAAUAUGACUUGAUGUCAUGUGUAUGACUCAGUAUAAACACUAGAACCGCAACGGAUCUUAAAAGCAUAAGUAUUGUAUCAUUGUUAGAAGAUACAAUGACGAAGACUUAUACGGACUUCGACUACACCAUCAAAGCUUUGAGAAGCAAGAAGCAGUUGGUUAGUGUUUUGGAGUCGAAUAUGACUUGAUGGCAUGUGUAUGAGUGAGUAUAAAAACUAGAACCGCAACGGAUCUUAAAAGCCUAAAUAUUGUAUCCUUGUUAGAAGAUACAUAGACAAAGUCUCAUACGGAAUUCGGCUAAACCAUCAAAGCUUUUAGAAGCAAGAAGAAGGUUGGUUAGUGUUUUGGAGUGAAAUCUAACUAGAUGUCAUGUGUAUGAGUGAGUAUACCAACUAGAACCACAAUUGGAAUUUUAAAAGCCUAAGUAUUAUAUCCUUGUUAGAAGAUACAAAGACAAACACUCAUACGGACUUUGGCUACACCAUCAAAGCUUUGAGAAGCAAGAAGAAGCUUGGUUAGUGUUUUGGAGUCGAAUAUGACUUGAUGUGAUGUGUAUGAUUGAGUAUAAGAAAUUAAACCGCAACCGGAUCUUAAAAGCCUAAGUAUUGUUUCCUUGUUAGAAGAAACAAAGGCAAAGCCUCAUACAAACUUUAGCUUUACCAUCAAAGCCUUGAGAAGAAAGAAGAAGCUUGGUUAGUGUUUUGGAGUCAAAUAUUACUAGAUGUCAUGUGUAUGAGUGAGUAUGACAACUAGAACCAUAACCGGAUCUUAAAAACCUAAGUAUUGAAUCUUUGUUAGAAGAUACAAAGACAAAGACUCAUACGGACUUCGACUACACUAUCAAAGCUUUGAGAAGCAAGAAGAAGCUUGGUUAGUGUUUUGGAUUCGAAUAUGACUUGGUGUCUUGUGUAUGACUCAGUAUAAACACUAGAACCGCAACGGAUCUUAAAAGCAUAAGUAUUGUAUCAUUGUUAGAAGAUACAAUGACGAAGACUCAUACGGACUUCGACUACACCAUCAAAGCUUUGAGAAGCAAGAAGCAGUUGGUUAGUGUUUUGGAGUCGAAUAUGACUUGAUGUCAUGUGUAUGAGUGAGUAUAAAAACUAGAACCGCAACGGAUCUUAAAAGCCUAAAUAUUGUAUCCUUGUUAGAAGAUACAUAGACAAAGUCUCAUACGGAAUUCGGCUAAACCAUCAAAGCUUUUAGAAGCAAGAAGAAGCCUUGUUAGUGUUUUGGAGUGAAAUCUAACUAGAUGUCAUGUGUAUGAGUGAGUAUACCAACUAGAACCACAAUUGGAAUUUUAAAAGCCUAAGUAUUGUAUCCUUGUUAAAAGAUACAAAGACAAACACUCAUACGGACAUUGGCUACACCAUCAAAGCUUUGAGAAGCAAGAAGAAGCUUGGUUAGUGUUUUGGAGUCGAAUAUGUUUUGAUGUGAUGUGUAUGAUUGAGUAUAAGAAAUUAAACUGCAACCGGAUCUUAAAAGCCUAAGUAGUGUUUCCGUGUUAGAAGAUACAAAGGCAAAGCCUCAUAAGGACUUGAGCUAUACCAUCAAAGCCUUGAGAAGCAAGAAGAAGCUUGGUUAGUGUUUUGGAGUCAAAUAUUACUAGAUGUCAUGUGUAUGUGUGAGUAUACCAACUAGAACCACAAUUGGAAUUUUAAAAGCCUAAGUAUUGUAUCCUUGUUAGAAGAUACAAAGACAAACACUCAUACGGACUUUGGUUACACCAUCAAAGUUUUGAGAAGCAAGAAGACGCUUGGUUAGUGUUUUGGAGUCAAGUAUGACUUGAUGUGAUGUGUAUGAUUGAGUAUAAGAAAUUAAACCGCAAAUGGAUCUUAAAAGCUUAAGUAAUGUUUCCUUGUUAGAAGAUACAAAGGCAAAGCCUCAUACAGACUUUAGCUAUACCAUCAAAGCCUUGAGAAGCAAGAAGAAGCUUGGUUAGUGUUUUGGAGUCAAAUAUUACUAGAUGUCAUGUGUAUGAGUGAGUAUGACAACUAGAACCAUAACCGGAUCUUAAAAACCUAAGUAUUGAAUCUUUGUUAGAAGAUACAAAGAAAAAGACUCAUACGGACUUCGACUACACUAUCAAAGCUUUGAGAAGCAAGAAGAACCUUGGUUAGUGUUUUGGAUUCGAAUAUGACUUGAUGUCAUGUGUAUGACUCAGUAUAAAAACUAGAACCGCAACAUAUCUUAGAAGCAUAAGUAUUGUAUCAUUGUUAGAAGAUUC